rnacentral:rRNA from 1 species
GAUGAACGCUGGCGGCGUGCCUAAUACAUGCAAGUCGAGCGAACGGACGAGAAGCUUGCUUCUCUGAUGUUAGCGGCGGACGGGUGAGUAGCACGUGGAUAACCAACCUAUAAGACUGGGAUAACUUCGGGAAACCGGAGCUAAUACCGGAUAAUAUUUUGAACCGCAUUGUUCAAAAGUGAAAGACGGUCUUGCUGUCACUUAUAGAUGGAUCCGCGCUGCAUUAGCUAGUUGGUAAGGUAACGGCUUACCAAGGCAACGAUGCAUAGCCGACCUGAGAGGGGGAUCGGACACACUGGAACUGAGACACGGUCCAGACUCCUACGGGAGGCAGCAGUAGGGAAUCUUCCGCAAUGGGCGAAAGCCUGACGGAGCAACGCCGCGUGAGUGAUGAAGGUCUUCGGAUCGUAAAACUCUGUUAUUAGGGAAGAACAUAUGUGUAAGUAACUGUGCACAUCUUGACGGUACCUAAUCAGAAAGCCACGGCUAACUACGUG